GCUUACGGCCAUAUCACGUUGAAAGCACCAGUUCUCGUCCGAUCACCGAAGUUAAGUAACGUCGAGCCUAGUUAGUACUUAGAUGGGUGACCGCUUGGGAAACCUAGGUGCUGUAAGCG
rnacentral:rRNA from 1 species